GACGAACGCUGGCGGCGUGCUUAACACAUGCAAGUCGAGCGGUAAGGCCCUUUCGGGGGUACACGGGCGGCGAACGGGUGAGUAACACGUGGGUGACCUGCCCUCAGCUCUGGGAUAAGCCUGGGAAACUGGGUCUAAUACUGGAUAUGACUCCACGGUGCAUGUCGUGGGGUGGAAAGCCUUGUGCGGCUGAGGAUGGGCCCGCGGCCUAUCAGCUUGUUGGUGGGGUGAUGGCCUACCAAGGCGACGACGGGUAGCCGGCCUGAGAGGGCGACCGGCCACACUGGGACUGAGACACGGCCCAGACUCCUACGGGAGGCAGCAGUGGGGAAUCUUGCGCAAUGGGCGAAAGCCUGACGCAGCGACGCCGCGUGAGGGAUGACGGCCUGGUGU
rnacentral:rRNA from 1 species